GACGAACGCUGGCGGCGUGCUUAACACAUGCAAGUCGAACGGAAAGGCCCCUUUGGGGGUACUCGAGUGGCGAACGGGUGAGUAACACGUGAGUAACCUGCCCUUGACUUCGGGAUAACUUCAGGAAACUGGGGCUAAUAACGGAUAGGAAUCCUUGCUGCAUGGUGGGGGUUGGAAAGCUUCGGCGGUUUUGGAUGGACUCGCGGCUUAUCAGCUUGUUGGUGGGGUAGUGGCUUACCAAGGCUUUGACGGGUAGCCGGCCUGAGAGGGCGACCGGCCACAUUGGGACUGAGAUACGGCCCAGACUCCUACGGGAGGCAGCAGUGGGGAAGAUUGCACAAUGGGCGGAAGCCUGAUGCAGCAACGCCGCGUGCGGGAUGACGGCCUUCGGGUUGUAAACCGCUUUCAGCAGGGGCGAAGCUUGUGGUGACGGUACCUGCAGAAGAAGCACCGGCUAACUACGUG
rnacentral:rRNA from 1 species